rnacentral:tmRNA from 1 species
GUACUGGUUUCGACGGGGGUUUUGAAGUUUGGGAAGCCAUCCGCAGCCUCCGGGACUGCGUCAUCAACCUGGAAAUUAAAUUUAAACGCAGACGAAAAUUACGCGUUAGCAGCCUAAGUGCUGCUUGUCCGUCUUUAAGAUUCCUGCUGCUUAAGGAAGGGCAUCAAACUUAGCAGGGCACUUCACUCCCUAAGCUUUGCGGGAGCGGAAGAUUUUAUGAAGCUACUAAGACCGGAAGCCUGUCAUUGGGCGGUCGGUUAAGGGAAUGUUAAAACGAUGACUGUGAUGGGAGAUGCCUGAAUGAAUAGGCUUUCGGACGCGGGUUCGAUUCCCGCCUGGUCCA